UAAAUAGUGAAAAGAUUUUUUUAAGCACUUUUGCCUAGAUUUAAACAGCAACUUGAAAAGAAUAAAAAAGUACAUUUUAACAUGUAAUUGUGGGAGAAACUGUAAAUAGUAGUUGAAUAUUUAAUGCUUUGUCAAUCCACCUUUACCAUAUUCUGUAAAGUGGCAAUUAUUUUACAGGACAAAAAAAUGAAAUUAUUAUUGCUUUUGAAAUAAAUACCCAAGAGCUUAUCAGGACUUAGAAUUAUUCAGAAUUCAGAUUUAUAGGAAAGCCUCUGACCCUCUGUUUGACAAGCUAAAGAGGCGGAGUCUUUAAGGCGCAUGCUAAUUUUCUAGUUUUGAGGGAGAGCUGGGUCCUUUAAAUGCUAUUUUGCCUAAAUCGCAUCAGUGCUUUUCCGCAGGUCUCAUCUGACUCCGUGCUUAGGUAGAUGCGGGGGUGCCUUGAAAAACUUCAUUUUAAAGAAUCUUAAAUAGUGAUAAUUGUACAAAGCAUUUGGAGAAUGUGACCGCAUAUGCGGCCCAUGGAAGCCCCAGGUUGGCUGUUGGCUUGCAAGGUCCUGAGCGUGGCCCAGGCGAUCCUGUUGUCGGCAGUGUGUGGAUCUCUCUGACGUGUAUUCAGUAUGCUCCAAUCCUCCUCACCCUUUGGUAGCAAAGCCAUUAGAUGAAGAAUGGAGAAACCAGUACAAGCUAAAAAAGCAUGUGAUGUCUAUCCCCCAAGCCUGCACAGCCUCGUUCAUAAGCUCUGGGCCAGGAAACAGGCUGCCGUGAGGUGAGGCAGGAGGUGCUCCACGUUGGCCUUUCGGGUCCUAGCGAGCUCUGUUUCAGGGCUCAGGGCUGUAGCUGUGCUUGAGCCCGUGCUGAUUUUCACACACUACAUAUAUAACCUACCUCAAAUCUGUCGUUGAAAUGAGCAUGCUUUAGACGUGUAUUUAAGACGUAACUAUGCACAGUUCUAUAUCCCCCAUCCCUUGCUGCUGAAGGCUUCUUAAAGAGAAAAAUCAAAUUUUUUAUUUUUACUGGCACUAUCAUUUUUUUAAGUCCUGAAGAUGAUUGACAAGACAUUUUUAUCAUGAGAAGAAAAAUUAAAAAAAAUAAAAAAUAAAGCCAUUGCAACUCAAGAACCUGACGGCAUGAGCGAGUUCCAAGAGUAGCGUUUUAACUAGGGAGAUGAUGGCUUCGGAGUCUGCUCCCUGUGUGCCCGUCCGUCUGUCCGUCCGUCUCCACGGUCCACAUGCAGUGCAAGCGUUUGAUGCCCCACCCCCAGCUUUCUUUGUUCUUUGUUUUUCUUCUCCCUGCCUGCUGUGUGCAAGAGGACUUUCGAAGUUCUAACCCGAGAGAUUUUCUUUUAGACUAUGUCAUUCUGCAACAGGAUCUGACAGGAUAACUGGUGCUAGCUGGAGAAACCACCCGUCAGUAGCCCCGCUGAGGGUGUCACGUGGAUUUGGGGGAGGGGGUUAGUUUGAAGUCUGGUCUUCAGUGGGGGCUGAGCACCCCAGCCCAGCCCUCCCGGGUGCUGCUUUGCUUUUUUGCUCUGGUGGCCCUGGUACAUGGGAAGGGAUUCUGCCUUCUCUGGCCCUCCCGCCUGCUGCUUAAGGAAGCAGUAGUUUGCAGAGCAAGGGGUUGUUCGCGUGCUAAAUGGUAAGGACAGACAUAGCAGAGCUUUGUGGCUCCGUAGCUAAUGGCAGUGGAUGUGUGAGCGUGGUUGACAGUAGCUGAAAACCCAGUGUCACAGAGCGAGGAGACGUGGCUGCCUCAGAUGUCAAAGCAAGGCCAAGCUGGUGGAAAACUGAUGUAUCCCUGAUGUGCCUCAACCAGUCUCUUUCCUUUUGUUACUCAAGUGUGUUUUCUGGACUUGGAAGCAUUUUUAUGAAUUGAAAUGGUCUAAUAAAUGGUGCUAUGGUGUUUCAAUGUGACUGUCCCUGAUCUCGUCUCCCUGAGGUGCUAUCAACGUUUGAAACCACAACCAACCAAAAAAACGAGGUGGGCUCCGUCUCUCGGCUUUUCUUUCCUCUUUUGGUGCUGUCUUUGUAGACCUCUGUUUACCGCGCUGUGUCUGCUCUGAGCAGCGUCCUGGGUCUGGUGUUUUGUUGUUCCCCUUGGUGUUCAAAGCUAGGCUCACGGAGGAGGCAGCUUGUUCCGUGCAAGGACAGCAGUGGCCCUCCUGUCUGGGCGGGCACUGUGGGUUUGUCUAUCUUCUUAGGCCAGAUUAGAAAGGGGAUGGUGGCUUUGAGAAGGAGAGGCAGGACCCCUGCCACUUCUUGUACAUCAGGUAUUCUCCUGUGUCCCAGGGUGCUAACCCUCGAGGGGGACAGGCUGUGGUCCAGGGGCAGCACCUUUACCUGGCCCCCGCAGGGAUGGGAUGGGCAAGACUUUGGGUUCUUGCUGCUCAUUGGUAGCUCCUGGUGCUCAGACUAAAGGCAGGUGCUUUUUUUUGUCCCUCAUUGCCACCAAGGCCGCUUUUAGUUGGUGCUAAACCUCUCCCCGUGUCCACAUAAGCUGACGUAAAGUUUAAGAACUCGACAGGAAGCUCCAUUUUUACAUCAUCCACUGUCACAAUUUUUUUUUUUAAAAAAUACCUCAAAAACAGGACAUUGUGACAACUUAGAUUCCAUGAGGGUAUGAUACUCACAGGCUGUCAGUGGGCUGACUUCCUUGACCGAGACACAUCUGGGGUCGCUCUGUGACAUCUGGGGUCGCUCUGUCCAUUCCUGAGCAGUAAAAUGGCAGAGUGCCGAAGGGAAGUAGUGUGGUUAGAUUUUUUUUUUUUCAGUUAUCUUAAGUUUUGCUUUUGAAUAAAAUGUGAAUCUCCUCUGUCCAUCUCAUUGAGCUUUCUGUCAUGGUUGCUGUCCUUUGAAACCCUUCGCAACACCUGGUUCAUCUGCUGUCCUACCAGGCCAACUUCACCACAUACCCUGGACCAAACUAACACUUUUGAGGUGCACACCUCAGCCCAGGCUCAUAGCCCACUCCUACCCAUCUGCAAAUAGUUGCUUCCAGGAGCGCCGCCUUCCUGAGAGGGCAAAGCAAUAGGCUUCUCACCUGAGGGAAGACCUCAGCACAGAAGCCAGGUUCUGGCUUCGUGCCUGAGGAUCAGUGAGCUGUUCAGCCUGCUCCUCGCUUGCUUCUGUUCUGAUAUCAGGGAUGCUUUCUGUAGGCUGUCAGUCAUGCUCCCCUCGCUCUGACGGCUCGUCAUUCAGGGGGAACCCUCACUCCUCACAUGGGGACAGAUAUAAUUGGCUCAUCUGGACAUCCUAAAUUUUCUUGAUUCCAAUAUAGAUUUGUUUUUAUUUUUUUCUUUUUCUUUUGGGGGUAGGGGGAGAGAGACAGGAGUGAUGUCAUUUAUUGUUCUUGUGUUUAAAAAAGCAAGGACCGGCUGUCUCACAGCAUACUAAUGCUUUAGACUUGAUCUAGAACCCUUGUACCUUUUGGAUGUGUUUUAUUUCUUAUCUCUUUGAAUUCCUGUUUGGUUACCUGGCUUCCAAUGGAGGUGAACUUAACAACCAUACUUGAAUAUUCCGUCUUGACUUUGUAAACUGUGGCUACUUGAAAUGAAGUUUAUCUGGGGUUGAUGGAUGAAUGGUAGGUUUUUGCAAUGUCUCAAGGCAAUAGGAUGUGUAUUAUUAAACUGUAGAUAUCUUAGUACAGUAAAUUUAUGCUGAUAAUUUUAUUUUGUAUAAUUUUUACCUUUUUGUUAAUAUUUUCCUUCCAGUUUAUUGGUUUGUCUCCUGAGCUACCGCCUUCCUUCCCCUUUCCUUCUCCCCCAGUGUUUCAGUAAAUUUAAUUUAGGGUGCCUAGAAAUUGCAAGUAUGUAUCCUUUUUUGAUUUGUAUUUUAUUAUAAUUUACACAAACAACUGGGUUUGUGAACUGUAUUACUCCUGGCAUCUUUAAAAUAUUGUGGGUGUUUUAAUAAAUUUUAUAUUUAUUUUUUGCACUC
rnacentral:lncRNA from 1 species